rnacentral:rRNA from 1 species
GUAGGUGGCAAGCGUUGUCCGGAAUUAUUGGGCGUAAAGCGCGCGCAGGCGGUCCUUUAAGUCUGAUGUGAAAGCCCGCGGCUCAACCGUGGAGGGUCAUUGGAAACUGGGGGACUUGAGUACAGAAGAGGAAAGCGGAAUUCCAAGUGUAGCGGUGAAAUGCGUAGAGAUUUGGAGGAACACCAGUGGCGAAGGCGGCUUUCUGGUCUGUAACUGACGCUGAGGCGCGAAAGCGUGGGGAGCAAACAGGGAUUAGAUACCCUGGUAGUCCACGCCGUAAACGAUGAGUGCUAAGUGUUAGGGGGUUUCCCGCCCCUUAGUGCUGCAGCUAACGCAUUAAGCACUCCGCCUGGGGGAUACGGCCGCAAGGCUG